rnacentral:rRNA from 1 species
AGAGCGGCGAACGGGUGAGUAACACGUGAGUAAUCUGCCCUUCACUCUGGGAUAGCCACCGGAAACGGUGAUUAAUACCGGAUAUGACCCUGCCUGGCAUCUGGUGGGGUGGAAAAGUUCUGGCGGUGAAGGAUGGGCUCGCGGCCUAUCAGCUUGUUGGUGAGGUAAUGGCUCACCAAGGCUUCGACGGGUAGCCGGCCUGAGAGGGUGACCGGCCACACUGGGACUGAGACACGGCCCAG